GCUGGGGACGGGCCACAGCUCAGCGACAGAGCAUCUGCCUUGCACGCAGAAGGUCUCUGGUUCAGUCCCUGGCAUCCCCAGUU